ensembl:snRNA U6 U6 spliceosomal RNA
GUGCUCGGUUUGGCAGCACAUAUACUAAAAUUGGAAUGACACAGAGAAGAUUAGCAUGGCCCUUGCACAGGAUUACAUGCAAAUUCAGGAAACAUUCCAUAUUUUU